rnacentral:rRNA from 1 species
UUAGAUGCGAUGGGGGGACGGAUCGCGGAAGGUUGUCCGGGUGUUGGACGUCCCGGUCGCUGCAUUGGAGAAGGCGCUUAGGCAAAUCCGGGCGCAGGAUUCAAGGGUGUGGCGCGAGCUCCUUCGGGAGCGAAGCAAUUGGAAGUGGUUCCAAGAAAAGCCUCUAAGCUUCAGUCUAACGAUGACCGUACCGCAAACCGACACAGGUGGGCGAGAUGAGUAUUCUAAGGCGCUUGAGAGAACUCGGGAGAAGGAACUCGGCAAAUUGGUACCGUAACUUCGGGAUAAGGUACGCCCUUGUAGCUUGACCAGCCUGCGCUGGAAGGGUGAAGGGGUUGCAAUAAACUGGUGGCUGCGACUGUUUAAUAAAAACACAGCACUCUGCAAACACGAAAGUGGACGUAUAGGGUGUGACGCCUGCCCGGUGCCGGAAGAUUAAAUGAUGGGGUGCAAGCUCUUGAUUGAAGUCCCGGUAAACGGCGGCCGUAACUAUAACGGUCCUAAGGUAGCGAAAUUCCUUGUCGGGUAAGUUCCGACCUGCACGAAUGGCGUAACGAUGGCCACACUGUCUCCUCCCGAGACUCAGCGAAGUUGAAGUGUUUGUGAUGAUGCAAUCUACCCGCGGCUAGACGGAAAGACCCCAUGAACCUUUACUGUAGCUUUGCAUUGGACUUUGAACCGAUCUGUGUAGGAUAGGUGGGAGGCUAUGAAACCGGAACGCCAGUUUCGGUGGAGCCGUCCUUGAAAUACCACCCUGGUUUGUUUGAGGUUCUAACCUUGGCCCGUGAUCCGGGUCGGGGACAGUGCAUGGUAGGCAGUUUGACUGGGGCGGUCUCCUCCCAAAGCGUAACGGAGGAGUACGAAGGUACGCUAGGUACGGUCGGAAAUCGUGCUGAUAGUGCAAUGGCAUAAGCGUGCUUAACUGCGAGACCGACAAGUCGAGCAGGUGCGAAAGCAGGUCAUAGUGAUCCGGUGGUUCUGUAUGGAAGGGCCAUCGCUCAACGGAUAAAAGGUACUCUGGGGAUAACAGGCUGAUACCGCCCAAGAGUUCAUAUCGACGGCGGUGUUUGGCACCUCGAUGUCGGCUCAUCUCAUCCUGGGGCUGUAGCCGGUCCCAAGGGUAUGGCUGUUCGCCAUUUAAAGAGGUACGUGAGCUGGGUUUAAAACGUCGUGAGACAGUUUGGUCCCUAUCUGCCGUGGGCGUUGGAUAUUUGAAGGGGGCUGCUCCUAGUACGAGAGGACCGGAGUGGACGAACCUCUGGUGUACCGGUUGUGACGCCAGUCGCAUCGCCGGGUAGCUAUGUUCGGAAGAGAUAACCGCUGAAAGCAUCUAAGCGGGAAACUCGCCUUAAGAUGAGAUAUCCCC